rnacentral:ncRNA from 1 species
GGAGCGAACGCGGCUCAGGGAAGUCGGCAAGCCGGCUCCGUAACCUCGGGAAAAGGAGUGGCUCUGACGGCGCGCCGGGUCAGAACUGGAACGGACGCGGGGAUCCCGACUGUUUACUAGAAACACAGCGUCGCGAGGGCCGCACCCGGCGCUGGCGCGACGUGAUUUCUGCCCAGUGCCACGACCGUCACCGUGAAGCGAUCCGCCGAAGCCCUGGUAAACGGCGGGAGUAACUAUGACUCUCUUAAGGUAGCCAAAUGCCUCGUCGGGCAAUUUCCGACGUGCAUGAAUGGACCAACGAGGAUCCCACUGUCCCGAGCCGCGCCUCCGCGAGCCUCCAGCCUCGGGAACGGGCGAGGGCCGGCCAGCGGGGCAAGAAGACCCUUUUGAGCUUGACUCCAGCCCGGGCCUGUGGGGCGGGGCGGCCGGCGCAGCGCACAGGGGAGGCCGCGCCCCUGAGACACCCUGACGGCCGCCGCCGCCCCGCUCACCCGGUCGCGCGGGGACCCGCCCGGGCGGGGAGUUCGGCUGGGGCGGCGCGCCUGCUACACCGGACCGCAGGCGUCCCACGGCGGGCUCAGCGAGGACGGAGACCUCCCGCGGAGCAGAAGGGCACAAGCCCGCCCGACCCGCGCCCCCCGUGCCGGCGCGGGCCGCGAAAGCGGGGCCUACCGAUCCUUCGCCGCCCCGGCCGCGGGCGCGGAGGUGGCAGAAAAGUUACCACAGGGAUAACUGGCUUGUGGCCGCCGAGCGCCCGCAGCGACGCGGCUUUUUGAUCCUUCGAUGUCGGCUCUUCCUACCGUCCGCGCGCACCGGCGCGGAAGCGUCGGAUUGUUCACCCGUUCAAGGGAUCGUGAGCUGGGUUUAGACCGUCGUGAGACAGGUUAGUUUUACCCUACUGGCCCCGGGGCCAGAGCACGGCGGGCCAGUACGAGAGGAACGCCCGCCGCGGGCCGCCAGCCCCGCGGUUGCCCGGCCGGGCAGCGCCGCGCCGCCGCGCCCGGGGGCCCUGCGCUGACCGCCUCUAAGCGCGCACCCCGCCUCGCGCCCCG